rnacentral:rRNA from 1 species
CCUACGGGGGGCAGCAGUGGGGAAUAUUGGACAAUGGGGGGAACCCUGAUCCAGCCAUGCCGCGUGUGUGAAGAAGGCCCUCGGGUUGUAAAGCACUUUCAAUGAGGAAGAACGCCUGGUGGUGAAUACCCAUCAGGAAAGACAUCACUCACAGAAGAAGCACCGGCUAACUCCGUGCCAGCAGCCGCGGUAAUACGGAGGGUGCGAGCGUUAAUCGGAAUUACUGGGCGUAAAGCGCGCGUAGGUGGCUUGAUAAGCCGGUUGUGAAAGCCCCGGGCUCAACCUGGGAACGGCAUCCGGAACUGUCAAGCUAGAGUGCAGGAGAGGAAGGUAGAAUUCCCGGUGUAGCGGUGAAAUGCGUAGAGAUCGGGAGGAAUACCAGUGGCGAAGGCGGCCUUCUGGACUGACACUGACACUGAGGUGCGAAAGCGUGGGUAGCAAACAGGAUUAGAUACCCCGGUAGUC